rnacentral:rRNA from 1 species
GACGAACGCUGGCGGCGUGCUUAACACAUGCAAGUCGAACGGAGAGGCCCUGCUUUUGUGGGGUGCUCGAGUGGCGAACGGGUGAGUAACACGUGAGUAACCUGCCCUUGACUUUGGGAUAACUUCAGGAAACUGGGGCUAAUACCGGAUAGGAGCUCCUGCUGCAUGGUGGGGGUUGGAAAGUUUCGGCGGUUGGGGAUGGACUCGCGGCUUAUCAGCUUGUUGGUGGGGUAGUGGCUUACCAAGGCUUUGACGGGUAGCCGGCCUGAGAGGGUGACCGGCCACAUUGGGACUGAGAUACGGCCCAGACUCCUACGGGAGGCAGCAGUGGGGAAUAUUGCACAAUGGGCGGAAGCCUGAUGCAGAAACGCCGCGUGCGGGAUGACGGCCUUCGGGUUGUAAACCGCUUUCGCCUGUGACGAAGCGUGAGUGACGGUAAUGGGUAAAGAAGCACCGGCUAACUACGUG